UACAGAGGGGGCAAGCGUUGUUCGGAAUUACUGGGCGUAAAGGGCGCGUAGGCGGCCCGCUAAGUCGAACGUGAAAUCCCCGAGCUCAACUCGGGAACUGCGUCCGAUACUGGUGGGCUUGAAUCCGGGAGAGGGAUGCGGAAUUCCAGGUGUAGCGGUGAAAUGCGUAGAUAUCUGGAGGAACACCGGUGGCGAAGGCGACAUCCUGGACCGGUAUUGACGCUGAGGCGCGAAAGCCAGGGGAGCAAACGGG
rnacentral:rRNA from 1 species